ACCUGCCCAUGCAGAUACUGAAGCCAGCAACCUUCACCGACACCACCCACUACCCUCUGCUCCUGGUGGUGGAUGGCACCCCGGGCAGCCAGAGUGUGGCUGAGAAGUUCGAGGUGAGCUGGGAGACGGUGAUGGUGAGCAGCCAUGGCGCGGUGGUGGUAAAGUGUGACGGCCGUGGCAGCGGCUUCCAAGGGACCAAGCUCCUGCACGAAGUGAGGCGGCGGCUGGGCUUGCUGGAGGAGAAGGACCAGAUGGAGGCCGUGCGAGAUGCUGCAGGAACAACUCAACGGACUGUGGACUUGGGUUCUGAGAAUGACAAGAAGGCAGGGAGAAGCACAUCUACCAGGGACCCCCGCCGCGACCAUGAUCAUCACCGUUAUGGGCAGGGAGCAUGAGGCUGGGCCCGGGCACACAGGGAGGGUGGAGCACAGAGCCCAGCUCAGUACAUGUUUAUUGACUGGACCUGGCAUCUCUGUACCUAUUAUACCAGGGUGCUUUGUGCAUUUGGAAAUUUUUACUCAACUGACUUUGAAAACAUUUCUCCUCAUUUU
rnacentral:sRNA from 1 species